UAUUGGACAAUGGGCGAAAGCCUGAUCCAGCAAUGCCGCGUGAGUGAUGAAGGCCUUAGGGUUGUAAAGCUCUUUUACCAGGGAUGAUAAUGACAGUACCUGGAGAAUAAGCUCCGGCUAACUCCGUGCCAGCAGCCGCGGUAAUACGGAGGGAGCUAGCGUUGUUCGGAAUUACUGGGCGUAAAGAGUACGUAGGCGGUGAUUCAAGUCAGAGGUGAAAGCCUGGAGCUCAACUCCAGAACUGCCUUUGAAACUAGAUCGCUAGAAUCAUGAGAGGUAGUGAAUUCCGAGUGAGAGGUAAAUUCGAGUUUCGAAGACACCAGUGGCGAGGGCAACUGGCAUGUUAGCGUGGUCAAAUCGA
rnacentral:rRNA from 1 species